UCACGAGCAACUCAGGCUGACAUACAAUUGGAUGGCAAGACUCUUGAGUUCCCGUGUGAUACCGUGCAUCGGAAGUCCGUCUAUUACGCAGAUGGAAAUUCGGGCGCCCUCUCACCAGUGAGCUGCUGAUUAAAAAGUGUGAUCUGGCAUCUGCAGCUGUUCCAAUGACCUUAUCCUUUCUCAUCCUGGUAUGGUGCUGUAUACAUUAGCUCAACAGUCUGUGGUCCCAAGUCUUAACCACUCACCAGAGUCAAACGAUGACAUAAGUAAAUGGUCACAGCGCAUAGUGGACCAAACUGUCGAUGCUGAGGUGAAAAACAAACAUUUUGCAGCUGGAGGAGUCUCAGAGAUGCCUCCAGAUCUUCUUUGGAAUUGGCUUAGUCUUCAACCGUCUCUUUUAGGACCGAAGGUAACUGUGAAAUCGGAAUCAGCCAAACCGAUUCUUACCAGUUCAGGUUCACGUGCUGCCAUCACCAAGGACUCCACCACGUCUUUUUCAGCAGCUUCAGACACAUACAUCUACACAUCUACCCGGUUUCUCAAAACUUUGUUUUCUACGAGUACAAGCAACAAUGUACUAUUCAAAACGAAAAAUCCCCAAAAUCUGCACCUAAAAAAUUAGUGUCAACAUCCACGGUCACACCUGGACAAGAAGUCGGUAACAGUUUGACGUCGCAUGGUGUAGGAAGUAGUGCGCACGCGUCUUUACUAACAGUCACACUUGGACAGCCGAAUAGAAGCCAUUCGUCACCGUCAGUUCCAAAGAGCGCUGACACCUUUACUUCAUCACUUACGCGGGACUAUGUACCAAUUCAGGCAAAUUCAACUCUUGCCACACCGAGCCCAAAAGUCGCCAUGAAAAUAAACACAACAAAAGCGUUCGUGUUUGUAGGAAUAGUGCUGGGCCUUGUGGCCAUGGCGAUCACUGUUGCGAUCGUUAUAAAAAAGAAUAUUGGCCAAUGGACAUGUCUUCGGUGAACAAAAGAUUAAACAAGUCCCCAAUCAGACUAUUCAGGUUGUAAAAAAUGAUAAGUGCGAGGUAAAGACAAAACGUAUGGACAGUAAAAACUUGUUUCCUGCUGCUGAUCAGUCAA
rnacentral:misc_RNA from 1 species